GACGAACGCUGGCGGCGUGCCUAAUACAUGCAAGUUGAGCGCUGAAGGUUGGUACUUGUACCAACUGGAUGAGCAGCGAACGGGUGAGUAACGCGUGGGGAAUCUGCCUUUGAGCGGGGGACAACAUUUGGAAACGAAUGCUAAUACCGCAUAAAAACUUUAAACACAAGUUUUAAGUUUGAAAGAUGCAAUUGCAUCACUCAAAGAUGAUCCCGCGUUGUAUUAGCUAGUUGGUGAGGUAAAGGCACACCAAGGCGAUGAUACAUAGCCGACCUGAGAGGGGGAUCGGCCAAAAUGGGACUGAGACACGGCCCAAACUCCUACGGGAGGCAGCAGUAGGGAAUCUUCGGCAAUGGACGAAAGUCUGAACGAGCAACGCCGCGGGAGUGAAGAAGGUUUUCGGAUCGUAAAACUCUGUUGGUAGAGAAGAACGUUGGUGAGAGUGGAAAGCUCAUCAAGUGACGGUAACUACCCAGAAAGGGACGGCUAACUACGUG
rnacentral:rRNA from 1 species